UCAAUUCGUUAAAUAUGUUCAUUUAUAGGGCUUGUUUAGUACCAAAAGUUAAUUUCAUUUUCUUAUCGCAACGCAAAAAAAACGGACGUAACCAGAUAAAAAACACAUUAUGAUUUAUAAUACGUAAUAUCAAUGACGUAAAAUCUCUGCUUCAUACGAAAUAGCAUAAAGAAUAACGUCAAUGGAAUUAAAUACUAUAAUGCAAAGCAAAUACUGUAUAAUUAUGCUGAACAAUCCAGUUAUUGUAAUACCUAAGGCGUACGACGCAGUGUAUUCACCUGUGUGUGAAUGAAUCGAUUACGUUUAGUCGAGGUCCCCACCACUAAAAUCGUACUUCGCGAUGGUCGACGUAAAAAUAGAAGGAGAUCCCCGCGAUGUUCGCGGCAUACAUAGUUUUAAACAAGUGAAAUUCUUGUUUUAUUGCUUUAAGGAAAAUUAACUUUGAAAUUCUGACAUAUGACGCGUCAUAAACGUUAAAUAAUGAGUCAUCGCAUGAAUCACUUGGGGUGGGAUUGUGUGACCUGGAAAUUUUGAAACCUAGCGAUCGAAGGACCGCUAUGAAAUGGUUGGAAAAUGCGGGCAGUUUGUUCAGUUUCAUCGAAUUUAUGACGUAAAACCCAUUCGAAGGUUAUGUUUAUCUUGAUUUUGAUACGUAUAUUUAUUUAGUUUGGUCUCGUUUCAACGGAGAUAUUAGAAAUAAACAAUAAAUACAAAAUAAAUAGAGGUUUUUCAUCAUACUUAACUUCCGUACAAAUUGAUUCGAAAUGUGUUAUCUAAAUACUAACGCAAAAUGGUAGCAUCUAAUUUAUUUAAUACAAGCGGACCGCUCCGGCUUCGCUCGAAUCUUUAAUAAAAAUUUCAACAAUA